rnacentral:rRNA from 2 species
GGGAAGUCCUCGUGUUGCACCC